rnacentral:lncRNA from 1 species
UCAGUUAUAUUCCGCUCCUUUAAGUCUCCUUUUACGAUGCCCGCAAUUAAUUUUGGAUCAACCUCCCCCUCUUCUUAUAUCUUUUUCCUGAUGAAAGCUCCUCUUAUCAUCAGUGCAAUCACAAACCAAAUAUGACCAUAUCAUCUCAACAAAUGUUCCCUCAUCUUCUCUCAAACAUUCUGACGCAACCUUAUUUCGAAUAUCCUCAUGUUUUAUCCUCAUUCCAACCUUGUUGGAGAACGACACAUUCUCAUCUCAGCUCAGAAGCAAGGAUUCAAAUGCAGGGAUUUUAGGUGCACGAAACAGGGAUAUAGAAGUUCACCAAAUUAGAAAAAUG